UAGCUCAGUGGUCCUGACAGAGCAUGGCAGUGACAAUGCCGGGGUUAGGGGUUCGAUUCCCACUGGGACCGCCCA